rnacentral:rRNA from 1 species
UACGGAGGAUGCAAGCGUUAUCCGGAAUGAUUGGGCGUAAAGCGUCCGCAGGUGGCAAUGUAAGUCUGCUGUCAAAGCGUCUGGCUCAACCAGAUAAAGGCAGUGGAAACUACAUAGCUAGAGUAAGGUAGGGGUAGAGGGAAUUCCUGGUGUAGCGGUGAAAUGCGUAGAGAUCGGCAGGAACACCCAGGGGGAAGCCAGCCGACUGGGCAUCUGCUGACGCUGAGGUGCGAGAGCGUGGGGAGCGAACCGG